rnacentral:tRNA from 1 species
GGGCGCUUAGCUCAGUUGGUAGAGCAUCUCGUUUACACGGCGAUGGCGCAGAUUAUCCAGCGAACU